AGAGCGAACGCUGGCGGCAUGCUUAACACAUGCAAGUCGCACGGCUGGGGGUAACUCCAGCGGUGGCGGACGGGUGAGUAACGCGUAGGAAUGUAUCUAGAGGUGGGGGACAACCCUGGGAAACGUGGGCUAAUACCGCAUAUGGCCUGAGGGCCAAAGCCGUGAGGCGCCUUUGGAGCAGCCUGCGUCCGAUUAGCUU
rnacentral:rRNA from 1 species